GGCCUUUUGAAUUUAAUAUAAGGUCUGACCUGCCCAGUGAUAAUUUUAACGGCCGCGGUAUACUGACCGUGCAAAGGUAGCAUAAUCAUUAGUCUUUUAAUAGAGGGCUGGAAUGAAAGGUUUCACGAGGAACUGACUGUCUCAUUUUAUUUGUUUUAAAAUUUAAUUUUUUAGUUAAAAAGCUAAAAUUUUAUUGGUAGACGAGAAGACCCUAUAGAGCUUUACAUAUAAUUAAAUAAAUAUUUUUAUAUUAAUAUUUUUAUUUAUUUUUGUGUUUUGUUGGGGUGACAAAAAUAUAUAACUAACUUUUUUAUUUACUUUACAUUGAUUUAUGAAUAUUAGAUCCAAUACUAUUGAUUAUUAGACUAAGUUACCUUAGGGAUAACAGCGUAAUCCUCCUCCAGAGUUCAUAUUUACAGGAUGGGCUUGCGACCUCGAUGUUGGAUUAAGAUAAUAAUUAGGUGUAGCCGCUUAAUUGAUAGGUCUGUUCGACCUUUAAAUUCUU
rnacentral:rRNA from 1 species